CAUUACCGAGUGAGGGCCCUCUGGGUCCAACCUCCCACCCGUGUUUAUUUACCUUGUUGCUUCGGCGAGCCUGCCUUUUGGCUGCCGGGGGACGUCAGUCCCCGGGUCCGUGCUCGCCGGAGACACCUUAGAACUCUGUCUGAAGAUUGUAGUCUGAGAUUAAAUAUAAAUUAUUUAAAACUUUCAACAACGGAUCUCUUGGUUCCGGCAUCGAUGAAGAACGCAGCGAAAUGCGAUACGUAAUGUGAAUUGCAGAAUUCAGUGAAUCAUCGAGUCUUUGAACGCACAUUGCGCCCUCUGGUAUUCCGGAGGGCAUGCCUGUCCGAGCGUCAUUGCUGCCCUCAAGCACGGCUUGUGUGUUGGGCCCCGUCCUCCUUCCGGGGGACGGGUCCGAAAGGCAGCGGCGGCACCGCGUCCGGUCCUCAAGCGUAUGGGGCUUUGUCACUCGCUUUGUAGGCUUGGCCGGCGCUUGCCGAUCAACCAAACUUUUUAUCAGGUUGACCUCGGAUCAGGUAGGGAUACCC
rnacentral:rRNA from 1 species